CACAGCAGCCUCAGGGCCACAAUACACCAGCUGGAGAUUGCCAUAGCCAGCUCACUGCGUCCUGCAGAGGUGUCAUAGAGCCACCUAUUGGAACUCUGUGAUGUCUGAGAAUUCCAUCAUCCUGGGUAAAUCAUCAGCCUUCCCAACACGCCCCCAAGUAGGGCAGCUUUAAGUCCCUUUUCUACUGCCAGAAUGGCUUGACAGGAACUUAUGGUGGAUAUAGCCCUACUGUCCUCUCUCACUCUCAUUUCUUUUAAUUAAGCAUAGAUUCUACUGAAGCUGAUCAUCAUCAUCCAUCAUGUGACCUGCCUAAAGGGGGUCAUGUGUAAUCACGUGUUCUGCAUAGUCCAUCUCUGAAGCACGAUGCCAAUUCUGUGACUUCCUGAAACUCUUGGUUAGCCAAAGAUCUGAAUGAAUGUGAUAAUGAGUCGAGAGAGAAUGUUGAGUACUUACCCCUGUUCCGGAGGGUAUACAGCUUUACAACGCGCAAGCUUAUUCUCGGUGGAUGAACUUAAGGGGGUACAUUACCUCAGAACCUUCCUCCACAAGCAGGAUUUCUCGGAUGCCUGGGCUGAAGGAAGCAGCCACUGGCAAGGCUGGAGGGCCGGACAGAGCCAAUCUGUCCUUGGUGCUGAAAGCAAAGCCGGGGUGAGGCAGAAGCAG